rnacentral:lncRNA from 1 species
AGCAUGGGAUUCUAGUUAUGAACACAUGCUCUUAGUGUCCAGCUGUCUGAGCUUACAUUGUACUUCCACAGAUGAAAGUUUUUAGGCUAAGCCCGUGUGGAAGGUGUGGUUUGAAGAGAAAUGCAGAGCCUGUGAAAGCCUUUGAUCACCUGUGAAUGAUGAAGCUCUGGCCUCAGGGAGACGUUUCCUAUCUGGCUGAACAUGAUGCUUCUUUUUAUUCCUGUCCUCAGUGCGAAUCUUCCUACUUCAGCCUCAUGAUCAAGAUGAAGACUUGUUUUGUCAAGUUAGGAAAGAUCCUUCCGUCCCUAAUUUUGAGGGUUUUAAUAAACCGAUGUACAGCAGCUGACAGGAGGACAAUGAGUUGCAGAGCUCACAGAAGACAUCAGGCAGAGCUUCUGAGAGAAAAGAGAAAAACUGCUGUCAAAUCAACCCUCCAGGUGGGCAAUUUGCCCGUGACCUAAAACCAAAAUA